UACGUAGGUGGCUAGCGUUAUCCGGAUUUACUGGGCGUAAAGAGCGCGUAGGUGGUCUUUCAAGUCGAAUGUAAAAUCUCCCGGCUCAACUGGGAGGGCGCAUUUGAUACUGUGAGACUUGAGGACAGUAGAGGAAAGCGGAAUUCCCGGUGUAGUGGUGAAAUGCGUAGAUAUCGGGAGGAACACCAGUGGCGAAGGCGGCUUUCUGGGCUGCACCUGACACUGAGGCGCGAAAGCGUGGGGAGCGAACAGG
rnacentral:rRNA from 1 species